ACAUGCAAGUCGAGCGGUAGCACAGAGAGCUUGCUCUCGGGUGACGAGCGGCGGACGGGUGAGUAAUGUCUGGGAAACUGCCUGAUGGAGGGGGAUAACUACUGGAAACGGUAGCUAAUACCGCAUAAUGUCGCAAGACCAAAGUGGGGGACCUUCGGGCCUCAUGCCAUCAGAUGUGCCCAGAUGGGAUUAGCUAGUAGGUGGGGUAACGGCUCACCUAGGCGACGAUCCCUAGCUGGUCUGAGAGGAUGACCAGCCACACUGGAACUGAGACACGGUCCAGACUCCUACGGGAGGCAGCAGUGGGGAAUAUUGCACAAUGGGCGCAAGCCUGAUGCAGCCAUGCCGCGUGUGUGAAGAAGGCCCUCGGGUUGUAAAGCACUUUCAGCGGGGGAGGAAAGGCGUUAAGGUUAAUAACCUUGGCGAUUGACGUUACCCGCAGAAGAAGCACCGGCUAACUCCGUGCCAGCAGCCGCGGU
rnacentral:rRNA from 1 species